UACAGAGGGUGCAAGCGUUAAUCGGAAUUACUGGGCGUAAAGCGUGCGUAGACGGUAGCGUAAGUCGGGUGUGAAAGCCCCGGGCUCAACCUGGGAAUUGCAUUCGAGACUGCUCUGCUAGGGUGCGGAAGAGGGGAGCGGAAUUUCCGGUGUAGCGGUGAAAUGCGUAGAUAUCGGAAGGAACACCAGUGGCGAAAGCGGCUCCCUGGUCCAGCACCGACGUCAGGCACGAAAGCGUGGGGAGCAAACAGGAUUGAG
rnacentral:rRNA from 1 species